AUGAGGUUGAAGAUGAAGUUGGUGGGUUAGUGAUGGGGCCAAAAGGGUUAGAGAAAAAAGAAGUUAGGGGCUCAGAUGUCAAAAGAUUUAUUUUUGGGCUGAUAGGGUUAAAGUGAAACAACCACAGGGGCCAAAAUCGUAAUUUACUCUAAUAUAAAUGUAGAAUGCUGAAACCAUUUGAUUGAAAGAUAUCUCCAUAAUCUUCUAAAUUAUAUAUUUGAUCUCAAGAAAAAAGGCAUUGACAUCUAUGAAGCUUUAUCUUGCUCAUAGUCACAAUUUCUGGUAAGCUACACAUUCAUUAUUGCUUAUAGAUCCUCUCCUCUAUGUUCUCAACUUUUAUCAAUAUGACUUCUAUCAUAUACGAAUAACACACUUUUAGUAACUUAUUACUUAUUGUUCAUUGAUCGAUAUACGCCUUAUGCAGUGGCGGAUCCAGUAUUAUAAUGGGUUCCUUUUGAUAAAUUCUUUUUAAUUCUCACUGUUUUUUUUUUUUUUCUAAAUUCUAUAAGGUUCUUCUCACUAAUUUUUUUCAUUUUUUCCAAACGCACUGGAUUCCUAGAAACCCACAAAUGUGGGCUAGAUCCGCCCUUGGCUUUAUGUUAAAUUAAGGGACACAGAUAGUGACCGGUGAAGCGUGUGAAAAAUCUUGGUCGUACUCUAAUAGUUUUUGUGACAGGACCAUUUGCGACAAUCAGGGCCAUCUCUGAAAAUUAAAAAAAAAAUUGGUCCUAUGCGAAAUAAAAAAUUUGAGCCAUAUUCGCAAAUCUCCAUGUUUUUAAAUAAUCAAAGUCUAAACAUUGGCAAAUUGGACCACAAACUCACAAAUCCAAAAUUCUGAAAAGCCCUAAAAACGUUUUUGGUUCAUAAAUUCAGUCCUGUUAAUAUUUUUUUUAAACACACACAUAUAUAUAUAUAUUUAAAAAAAAUCAGACCCUGUUUCGAUUUGGGUCCAGAAUGGCCGUCCACCUGGCACUUGCUAUUGGCUGGCCCUGGCGACAAUGAAUGCAAAGACAGAAAUCCAUGCAUGCUAAUUGAUAGUUGUGUAUGUACUUAUCCAUGUUAAAUUCUAGUAUUUUCAUACAAAGUUGAUAUAAUAAACUUUCGUCUAUGAAUUAAUAUAUUAUAUUAUUGAAUUGAGCAUAUGAAGAGAAAUACAUGCUUAUAAAGAGGAUAUAAAUACCGAGUCAAAAGGGCUCAGAAAAUCAUUUUAUAAGGGGUUUAUUUAUUUAACUGUAUUUUACUUUUUUUUGACAUUUUUUAGAGAUUUGGAAUGAACCAUGCAUUUAUACUUUUACUACUUAUUACUUAUUAGGUUCACUUCAUAAACUUAUUACAAACAAUAUCAGAUAGCUUACUCAUCAUCAUCAUACUCAGUAAAUCCCACAAAUAGCAAAGCUAAGGUAGGGUCUGAGGAGGGUAGAUGUAGACAGCCUUACCUCUACCCCGUAGGAAUAGAGAGGCUGCUUCCAGUGAGACCUCCGGCUCGAUUGUAGUUUUGUAUCAAGCCUUGGACCUAAGACACAUAACACUCAAAACAAUCGGGAGAGAGACUGAUUGGCGCAUAUACCCCCGUGUCUUUAAGCUAUCAACGUCACCACAUGAUGCAUGAUUAACCAUCUGCCGCUUUUAACGUUAUUUUCACGAAAUUAGUAAGAUAGCGUUAAAGUUAGUACCAUAUCAGAUAGCUUACUAAAUAAUUUAAAUAAAAAUUAGGUGUUUUUAAAAGAAAACCAGCAAACUACCUGCGUGUUGUCGCGUUGUUUUAAAAUUCGUUUUUAAAGAAAUGUAUCAUAGGCUUAACAUCUUGUACUUAGCGUUCUUGAAAAUUAAUAUAAAAACAAAAGCAUUUAUAUAAAUCCACACGUUAUUUAUAACAACCCUUCCACAACGUUCGGUCUAUUACCGACAAGUAAGAAGAGAAAAACACACUCAUAAAAAGUAAAAGUAUAG
rnacentral:lncRNA from 1 species